UAUGAAGUCUACUUUUCCUAAUGCAAUAGAGGACUUUUAUCCAUACUAUUGCUUGGAUUUGGUAUACCAAUACAUAUUGCUCGUGGAUGGAUUUGGUGUACAUCCUAGGAAGGAGAUUACGGUGAUAACUGAAGUUGAGUACAAAAACUACAUGGUUGGAGCAGCUUGGCCCCUUGGUUGCGCCAUUGACGUGAUCUCAUCGUC